rnacentral:tRNA from 1 species
GGGAGUAUAGCUCAGUGGUAAGAGCAUGUGCUUAGCAUGCACGAGGCCCUAGGUUCAAUCCCUAGUACCCCA